rnacentral:rRNA from 1 species
GGCGAACGCUGGCGGCGUGCUUAACACAUGCAAGUCGAACGGAAAGGCCCUGCUUUUGUGGGGUGCUCGAGUGGCGAACGGGUGAGUAACACGUGAGUAACCUGCCCUUGACUUUGGGAUAACUUCAGGAAACUGGGGCUAAUACCGGAUAGGAGCUCCUGCUGCAUGGUGGGGGUUGGAAAGUUUCGGCGGUUGGGGAUGGACUCGCGGCUUAUCAGCUUGUUGGUGGGGUAGUGGCUUACCAAGGCUUUGACGGGUAGCCGGCCUGAGAGGGUGACCGGCCACAUUGGGACUGAGAUACGGCCCAGACCCCUACGGGAGGCAGCAGUGGGGAAUAUUGCACAAUGGGCGGAAGCCUGAUGCAGCAACGCCGCGUGCGGGAUGACGGCCUUCGGGCUGUAAACCGCUUUCGCCUGUGACGAAGCGUGAGUGACGGUAAUGGGUAAAGAAGCACCGGCUAACUACGU